GAUGAACGCUGGCGGUGUGCCUAAUACAUGCAAGUCGAGCGAACAGACGAGGAGCUUACUCCUCUGACGUUAGCGGCGGACGGGUGAGUAACACGUGGAUAACCUACCUAUAAGACUGGGAUAACUUCGGGAAACCGGAGCUAAUACCGGAUAACAUGUUGAACCGCAUGGUUCAACAGUGAAAGACGGUCUUGCUGUCACUUAUAGAUGGAUCCGCGUCGCAUUAGCUAGUUGGUAAGGUAACGGCUUACCAAGGCAACGAUGCGUAGCCGACCUGAGAGGGUGAUCGGCCACACUGGAACUGAGACACGGUCCAGACUCCUACGGGAGGCAGCAGUAGGGAAUCUUCCGCAAUGGGCGAAAGCCUGACGGAGCAACGCCGCGUGAGUGAAGAAGGUCUUCGGAUCGUAAAACUCUGUUAUUAGGGAAGAACAAAUGUGUAAGUAACUAUACACGUCUUGACGGUACCUAAUCAGAAAGCCACGGCUAACUACGUG
rnacentral:rRNA from 1 species